GAUGAACGCUGGCGGCGUGCCUAAUACAUGCAAGUCGAGCGAACGGACGAGAAGCUUGCUUCUCUGAUGUUAGCGGCGGACGGGCGAGUAACACGUGGAUAACCUACCUAUAAGACUGGGAUAACUUCGGGAAACCGGAGCUAAUACCGGAUGAUAUUUUGAACCGCAUGGUUCAAAAGUGAAAGACGGUCUUGCUGUCACUUAUAGAUGGAUCCGCGCUGCAUUAGCUAGUUGGUAAGGUAACGGCUUACCAAGGCAACGAUGCAUAGCCGACCUGAGAGGGUGAUCGGCCACACUGGAACUGAGACACGGUCCAGACUCCUACGGGAGGCAGCAGUAGGGAAUCUUCCGCAAUGGGCGAAAGCCUGACGGAGCAACGCCGCGUGAGUGAUGAAGGUCUUCGGAUCGUAAAACUCUGUUAUUAGGGAAGAACAUAUGUGUAAGUAACUGUGCACAUCUUGACGGUACCUAAUCAGAAAGCCACGGCUAACUACGUGCCAGCAGCCGCGGUAAUACGUAGGUGGCAAGCGUUAUCCGGAAUUAUUGGGUGUAAAGCGCGCGUAGGCGGUUUUUUAAGUCUGAUGUGAAAGCCCACGGCUCAACCGUGGAGGGUCAUUGGAAACUGGAAAACUUGAGUGCAGAAGAGGAAAGUGGAAUUCCAUGUGUAGCGGUGAAAUGCGCAGAGAUAUGGAGGAACACCAGUGGCGAAGGCGACUUUCUGGUCUGUAACUGACGCUGAUGUGCGAAAGCGUGGGGAUCAAACAGGAUUAGAUACCCUGGUAGUCCACGCCGUAAACGAUGAGUGCUAAGUGUUAGGGGGUUUCCGCCCCUUAGUGCUGCAGCUAACGCAUUAAGCACUCCGCCUGGGGAGUACGACCGCAAGGUUGAAACUCAAAGGAAUUGACGGGGACCCGCACAAGCGGUGGAGCAUGUGGUUUAAUUCGAAGCAACGCGAAGAACCUUACCAAAUCUUGACAUCCUUUGACAACUCUAGAGAUAGAGCCUUCCCCUUCGGGGGACAAAGUGACAGGUGGUGCAUGGUUGUCGUCAGCUCGUGUCGUGAGAUGUUGGGUUAAGUCCCGCAACGAGCGCAACCCUUAAGCUUAGUUGCCAUCAUUAAGUUGGGCACUCUAAGUUGACUGCCGGUGACAAACCGGAGGAAGGUGGGGAUGACGUCAAAUCAUCAUGCCCCUUAUGAUUUGGGCUACACACGUGCUACAAUGGACAAUACAAAGGGCAGCGAAACCGCGAGGUCAAGCAAAUCCCAUAAAGUUGUUCUCAGUUCGGAUUGUAGUCUGCAACUCGACUACAUGAAGCUGGAAUCGCUAGUAAUCGUAGAUCAGCAUGCUACGGUGAAUACGUUCCCGGGUCU
rnacentral:rRNA from 1 species